GCUGGGCGUGGUGGCCCACGCCCGUAAUCCCAGCACUUUGGGAGGCCGAGGCAGGUGGAUCACCUGAGGUCAGGAGCUCAAGACCAGCCUGACCAACAUGGUGAAACCCUGUCUCUA
rnacentral:sRNA from 1 species